ensembl:misc_RNA predicted gene, 22383
AGAUAUGAUGAUGGUCUGGUUACAGCUGCAACCUCACCCAUCACCCAGGAUUCCAUUGAUCUGGCUAGCUAGGCCAGAAUCUUGUGCCUUCCUCAUUGUUCCUUGUGUAGUCCUUCUGAGGCUAAGCUGUGCUUAGUCAAAAGAGAAGGACUUCUUCCUCACAGAGGACCAUGUUUCACGCAAAGGUCUGUGAGUAGUUGAACUCCUCUUGUUUAGACCCUCCAAACAACUUCUCAAGGUCCAUAACUGCUCCAUGGAUGUUAGAAUUCAGUGCAGAUAUUGUCCUUAUCAGGAUCAAUUAACUAUAAGACUUUUCCAUAACUAAAU